rnacentral:rRNA from 1 species
UAUGGAAUCUUCGGCAAUGGGGGCAACCCUGACCGAGCAACGCCGCGUGAGUGAAGAAGGUUUUCGGAUCGUAAAGCUCUGUUGUAAGAGAAGAACGUGUGUGAGAGUGGAAAGUUCACACAGUGACGGUAACUUACCAGAAAGGGACGGCUAACUACGUGCCAGCAGCCGCGGUAAUACGUAGGUCCCGAGCGUUGUCCGGAUUUAUUGGGCGUAAAGCGAGCGCAGGCGGUUUAAUAAGUCUGAAGUUAAAGGCAGUGGCUUAACCAUUGUUCGCUUUGGAAACUGUUAAACUUGAGUGCAGAAGGGGAGAGUGGAAUUCCAUGUGUAGCGGUGAAAUGCGUAGAUAUAUGGAGGAACACCGGUGGCGAAAGCGGCUCUCUGGUCUGUAACUGACGCUGAGGCUCGAAAGCGUGAGGAGCAAACAGG